GCCUCUGUAGCUCAAGUGGCAAAGCACCGGUUUAAGCCAGAGGUCGUGAGUUCAAUCCUCCCAGGAGGUA